rnacentral:rRNA from 1 species
UACGUAGGGACCAAGCGUUGUUCGGAUUUACUGGGCGUAAAGGGCGCGUAGGCGGCGUGGUAAGUCAGUUGUGAAAUCUCCGAGCUUAACUCGGAACGGCCAACUGAUACUGCUGUGCUAGAGUGCAGAAGGGGCAAUCAGAAUUCUUGGUGUAGCGGUGAAAUGCGUAGAUAUCGAGAGGAACACCUGCGGCGAAGGCGGGUUGCUGGGCUGACACUGACGCUGAUGCGGCGAAAGCUAGGGGAGCGAACGGG